rnacentral:rRNA from 1 species
GCGACCCCAGGUCAGGCGGGAUCACCCGCUGAGUUUAAGCAUAUCAAUAAGCGGAGGAGAAGAAACUUACAAGGAUUCCCCUAGUAACGGCGAG